GCUGGGCGCAGUAGUGCAUGCCUGUAAUCCCAGUAGCUCAGGAGGCUGAGACGUGAGGAUCGUGAGUUCAAAACCAGCCUCAGCAACAAAAAGGUGCUAAGUAACUCAGUGAGACCAUGUCUCUA
rnacentral:sRNA from 1 species